GGCGAACGCUGGCGGCGGGCCUAACACAUGCAAGUCGUACGCGGGGUUCUCCUUCGGGAGAACUGCCGAGUGGCGAACGGGUGCGUAACGCGUAGGUAACCUGCCCUCGAGUGGGGGAUA
rnacentral:rRNA from 1 species